GGGGAUCUUGUCAUCAAACUUCCUCAUGUCUUCCCACGGUCCAUCUCCGACUCCAACAAGCACAAUAGACAAAGCAUACGAGCUGCGGAUAAGAUUGCGAUAUCGAGACUUGAACCGUUACCUGACCAUCUGCUAUGAUCACCAGAACAUGGAAUUGGCCUCCAUUCUUCUCAACUAUGUCAAUGGCGGCAUCAAUGACCGGUCCGUAAGUUGUAGGCCCUUUAACAUGGAAAGAUAGAAGAAGCUUUCAUAUCGAAGGCCAUGAUUCUUCUAUGAAACAGAGUAGAUGCUGAUUUGGUACAAGGGACGGUGAUAGAUCAGAGGGAAAGUCUUUGACCUGAAAGACGCAAGUUUGGAACUAUUCUUCGGUAGCAUGCUAAGACCUCUUCGAAGCCAUGGCACGGGGAA